GAUGAAGAACGUAGCGAAAUGCGAUAAGUAAUGUGAAUUGCAGAAUUCCGUGAAUCAUCGAAUCUUUGAACGCACAUUGCGCCCCCUGGCAUUCCGGGGGGCAUGCCUGUCCGAGCGUCAUUUCUGCCCUCAAGCACGGCUUGUGUGUUGGGUGUGGUCCCCCCGGGAACCUGCCCGAAAGGCAGCGGCGACGUCCGUCUGGUCCUCGAGCGUAUGGGGCUCUGUCACUCGCUCGGGAAGGACCUGCGGGGGUUGGUCACCACUAUAUUUUACCACGGUUGACCUCGGAUCAGGUAGGAGUUACCCGCUGAACUUAAGCAUAUCAAUAAGCGGAGGA
rnacentral:misc_RNA from 1 species